AAUCAUGUUUGCACAAAUAAAUUUUCAAAAAAAAAACAACAACCUUUGCAACAAAUGUGAAAAGGGCUCCCUAGGAGUACCUAGGAUGCUUUGGGUGCCUAAUACAUACACGUUUUUCUCAUCCCUUCAAUCAUGUUUGCACAAAUAAAUUUUCAAAAAAAAAACAACAACCUUUGCAACAAAUGUGAAAAGGGCUCCCUAGGAGUACCUAGGAUGCUUUGGGUGCCUAAUACCUUCACAUUGCAU
rnacentral:lncRNA from 1 species